rnacentral:rRNA from 1 species
UGUGGCCUACGGGGGGCAGCAGUAGGGAAUCUUCCACAAUGGACGAAAGUCUGAUGGAGCAACGCCGCGUGAGUGAAGAAGGGUUUCGGCUCGUAAAGCUCUGUUGGGAGUGAAGAAAGAUAGAGGUAGUAACUGGCCUUUAUUUGAAGGUAAUUACUUAGAAAGUCACGGCUAACUACGUGCCAGCAGCCGCGGUAAUACGUAGGUGGCAAGCGUUGUCCGGGUUUAUUGGG